rnacentral:rRNA from 1 species
CGAAGCAAUUAAGAGGAAGUUUUCGGAUGGAAUCUUGGUUGACUGAGUGGCGGACGGGUGAGUAACGCGUGGAUAACCUGCCUCACACUGGGGGAUAACAGUUAGAAAUGACUGCUAAUACCGCAUAAGCGCACGCUACCGCAUGGUAGUGUGUGAAAAACUCCGGUGGUGUGAGAUGGAUCCGCGUCUGAUUAGCCAGUUGGCGGGGUAACGGCCCACCAAAGCGACGAUCAGUAGCCGACCUGAGAGGGUGACCGGCCACAUUGGGACUGAGACACGGCCCAAACUCCUACGGGAGGCAGCAGUGGGGAAUAUUGCACAAUGGGCGAAAGCCUGAUGCAGCGACGCCGCGUGAGUGAAGAAGUAUUUCGGUAUGUAAAGCUCUAUCAGCAGGGAAGAAAAUGACGGUACCUGACUAAGAAGCCCCGGCUAACUACGUGCCAGCAGCCGCGGUAAUACGUAGGGGGCAAGCGUUAUCCGGAUUUACUGGGUGUAAAGGGAGCGUAGACGGCGAAGCAAGUCUGAAGUGAAAACCCAGGGCUCAACCCUGGGAGUGCUUUGGAAACUGUUUUGCUAGAGUGUCGGAGAGGUAAGUGGAAUUCCUAGUGUAGCGGUGAAAUGCGUAGAUAUUAGGAGGAACACCAGUGGCGAAGGCGGCUUACUGGACGAUAACUGACGUUGAGGCUCGAAAGCGUGNGGAGCAAACAGGAUUAGAUACCCUGNUAGUC